CUGACUUGAUCUGCCAUUCCUACUCCCCUGUACCGCAUGGGAUAUAUGAGUUAAGAGUGAAGCCUUGGGAAGAAAAUGGUAGAGGAAAGACUACCUUAACAAUACAACUUCACCAAGAAAAAAAGUUGCAUUCAAGUGUCAUUAUGCUAACCAGAAUACUAGCAUGUAGCAAGCUGUACAGUGGUAGCAUCCAAGAAAGAAGAUUUUACAAGCGGAUGAAGCAAAAACAAUGCCAUGGUCAAGACAAGAACAGAGAAUAAAAUCUUAAUUUAUUCAAAAAUA